UACGUAGGGUGCAGGCGUUAAUCGGAAUUACUGGGCGUAAAGCGUGCGCAGGCGGUUUGCUAAGACAGGUGUGAAAUCCCCGGGCUUAACCUGGGAACUGCGCUUGUUACUGGCAAGCUGGAGUGUGGCAGAGGGGGGUGGAAUUCCACGUGUAGCAGUGAAAUGCGUAGAGAUGUGGAGGAACACCGAUGGCGAAGGCAGCCCCCUGGGCUAACACUGACGCUCAUGCACGAAAGCGUGGGGAGCAAACAGA
rnacentral:rRNA from 1 species